AUUGAACGCUGGCGGUAUGCUUAACACAUGCAAGUCGAACGGUAACAGGCCUUCGGGCGCUGACGAGUGGCGGACGGGUGAGUAACGCGUAGGAAUCUGCCUCAUAGUGGGGGACAACGUGUGGAAACGCACGCUAAUACCGCAUACGCCCUACGGGGGAAAGCGGGGGACCUUCGGGCCUCGCGCUAUGAGAUGAGCCUGCGUUAGAUUAGCUAGUUGGUAGGGUAAAGGCCUACCAAGGCGACGAUCUAUAGCUGGUCUGAGAGGACGAUCAGCCACACUGGGACUGAGAAACGGCCCAGACUCCUACGGGAGGAAGCAGUGGGGAAUAUUGGACAAUGGGCGCAAGCCUGAUCCAGCAAUACCGCGUGUGUGAAGAAGGCCCUAGGGUUGUAAAGCACUUUCAAUAGGGAGGAAAACCUGUCGGUCAAUACCCGGCUGCUUGACAUUACCUAUACAAGAAGCACCGGCUAACUCCGUGCCAGCCGCCGCAGUAA
rnacentral:rRNA from 1 species